GAUGAAGAACGUAGUGAAAUGCGAUACUUGGUGUGAAUUGCAGAAUCCCGUGAACCAUCGAGUCUUUGAACGCAAGUUGCGCCCGAAGCCAUUAGGCCGAGGGCACGCCUGCCUGGGCGUCACACGUCGUUGCCCCCCCAUCUACUCCUUCGGGAUUGCGGGGGGCGGAUGAUGGCCUCCCGUGCGCCUCGUCGCGCGGUUGGCAUAAAUGCCAAGUCCUCGGCGACGCACGCCACGACAAUCGGUGGUUGCGAAACCUCGGUUGCCCGUCGUGUGCGGUCGUCGCGCAUCGAGGGCUCGAAAAAAUUGCCGGGCUCCGGCUCGACUUUCAACGCGACCCCAGGUCAGGCGGGGUUACCCGCUGAAUUUAAGCAUAUCAAUAAGCGGAGGA
rnacentral:misc_RNA from 1 species